rnacentral:rRNA from 1 species
GUAAUACGGAGGGUACAAGCGUUGUUCGGAAUUAUUGGGCGUAAAGAGCGUGUAGGCGGUUUGGUCAGUCAUAUGUGAAAGCCCUGGGCUCAACCCAGGAAGUGCAUUUGAUACUGCCAAUCUUGAGUAUGGGAGAGGAGAGUGGAAUUCCCAGUGUAGAGGUGAAAUUCGUAGAUAUUGGGAGGAACAUCCGUGGCGAAGGCGACUCUCUGGACCAAUACUGACGCUGAGACGCGAAAGCGUGGGGAGCAAACAGGAUUAGAUACCCUGGUAGUCCACGCCGUAAACGAUGAGAACUAGGUGUAGCGGGUAUUGACCCCUGCUGUGCCGGAGUUAACGCAUUAAGUUCUCCGCCUGGGGAGUACGGCCGCAAGGCUA